rnacentral:rRNA from 1 species
CGAGCACGCGCGUGUGGCAUAUCAAUAAGCGGAGGAAAAGAAACUAACAAGGAUUCCCUUAGUAACGGCGAGUGAAGCGGGAAGAGCUCAAAUUUGAAAUCUUCAAGGUUCUACCUUGACGAAUUGUAGUUUAUAAGAAGUGUUUUCUGUUAGGUGUAGUGGCUAAAAGUUCUUUGGAAUAGGACAUCAUAGAGGGUGAGAAUCCCGUAUUUGGUCAUUCCUCCUAGCGUUGUGAUACACUUUCAACGAGUCGGAUUGUUUGGGAAUGCAGUCCAAAAUGGGUGGUAAAUUUCAUCUAAAGCUAAAUAUUGGCGAGAGACCGAUAGCGAACAAGUACCGUGAGGGAAAGAUGAAAAGAACUUUGAAAAGAGAGUUAAACAGUACGUGAAAUUGUCAAAAGGGAAGCGUUUGACACCAGUGUUGUUUUUCCGAAAAUCAAUUACGAAUGUUUUGUUUUUGAGGAGUUAUGACUUCAUCGGCUUGCUUCUCUCUUUACGAAACUUUCUUAAUGCACUUUUCGGUUAACAAGUCAACAUCAAUUUCUUUUGUUGUAAAAGGGUAUGAGGAAGGUGGCUUUCUUUUCGGAGAAAGUGUUUAUAGCCUUGUGCCUCUACAAUCGGAGAGAUUGAGGUCUGCAGCGUAGAUCCUUCGGGGUUAGAUACGUUUGUGCUAAGUUAUAGCUUUUCAUAGACAACUUGUUGACUAUGUUUAGUCUUGUAGCUUACUCGCUGACGCUAUUUUACCUACGCUUAGGAUGUUGAGUAGCGACAUACGCAC